AACAUAGAGGAAAGCCUAACUUAUCUGUUCUCCACCUCUUGUGUUGAGGUGGAGAUAUUUCCCGAUGCCUCCCAUUCCUAUCGUCCUUAUGCGCUCCUUCCUCUUCCUUUUUGUUUGCUAAAUCGCUUUAGCAGAAAAACAGAACAUAUAUGUGCAUAUAUUCAGGUGAUGUGUGAUGUCCACUAUGAGACGGGAAGAGGAAAAAAAGAGGGCCUAAGAGCGGUGGGCAUGGGACAUGAUGGAAAGCUAAAGACCUCAGUUCCUCGUCUAACACUGAAUUGGACUGGACUGGAACCGGUUUCCUUGUAGCACCCCUCGCCUAGUGCCAAGGCCCUCACUGGAAGUAGUGCACUGUAAAUCCUCCAGAACUGGUGCUAUCUGAUCAAGUGUCAUUGCUGCACCUCCUUCCUUUUGUCCUAGUUUCUCCAAAAUACCAUUUAUUGAUGAUGUCACUGAAAAAGAUAUGCUCAUCUUUCUGCAAUAAAGUUCGCUUGUAUUCGGAUUAUAACAUGCUCUAAUGGAUUGGGGGAUUUUGAAGUGCACAAGUACUCAAUCCUCAGGGGUGCAUAUGAACCUAGGUUCAGAGUACAUAUAUGAAUAAGUGAGAAAAUACAAAAUGUUAAUCGUUCAGGAAAAUCUUAACAAUAUUUGUAUUUUGUCAAACAUAGUAGUCCAAUAAUGUAAUAUGGACCCUUGACACUCCUAAUAAGUGUGAGGAUCA